AGCGGCGGACGGGUGAGUAACGCGUGGGUAACCUGCCUCAUACAGGGGGAUAACAGUUGGAAACGGCUGCUAAUACCGCAUAAGCGCACAGUACCGCAUGGUACCGCGUGAAAAACUCCGGUGGUAUGAGAUGGACCCGCGUCUGAUUAGCUAGUUGGUGGGGUAACGGCCUACCAAGGCGACGAUCAGUAGCCGACCUGAGAGGGUGACCGGCCACAUUGGGACUGAGACACGGCCCAA
rnacentral:rRNA from 1 species